rnacentral:pre_miRNA from 1 species
UGGAGAAGGUACAAGGCUAGCGGUUGCGGAACGCGGAAAUAAUCUAAUCAUCCAUGUUCCGCAACCGCUAGCCUUGUACCUGCUUCACG